UGUAAUAAAAUAUUAUUUUUGUUACUUAGAGAUCAACUAAAUGAGAGGUAUUAUUUUUCUUUCCUCAAGUUGCUCAGAGAGUAUCAUCUGAGUUUCAUAGUUCUCUUACAAUUCGGUGAAGGUUCCUCAGAAUGUGGUCUAUCCUUGAAGGUGGAGAUUGCUUGAAAAGAUUUGUGUAAAUGUUUUGCUGGAAAAGAUUAGACAUUCUGGAUAAAUGUUUGCAGGGAAAGAUCUAAAGCAUAUUUGCUUGAAGGGUCAGAAUUUCAUAGUUCACUCAUUACAACAAAUGUAGCUUGUCACUACUAUUCUGAAGUCCUUGUCCCAAAAUGUUUCCACUUUGAAUAUUUUUUUCAUAGGUGGUACUUAAUAGAAAGUAUCUUUGCUUGGUGUAGAGCAAUGAUAUUAUUAAUGAAGUAUGUAGUCAGCUAGAGCAUUUUUGCACAGCUAAGACAAAGAUUGAGAAACAAUAAUCAAGAGUUUUAACCAUUAAAGAGAGAGAUAUCUAAUUAAAAUUUGUGCUGGAUGCAGAGAAAAAAUUGUAUCCCAAUUUAUUUCUAUUGAAACUGAGCACAAGGUUAUUUUUAUUUUAAGUCCUCUUCCUUACACUCCAUGAUUUACAGCUUCUUAAUGAAACAAGGUUUCUGUAGUUGACAAUUCUAUGUUUAGAAUGCUUGUUAGGUUCUCCAGCAUGUUAUGAUUAGCCUCAUUAUGUUUACAUUCAAACCUGAGGAUCUGCAAUGCUCCUUAUUUUGUUAUAUUAUUCGGGAACUACUUGCCUGAGACUAAUGUUAAAUUUAGCUAUCCUAAGGUAACGAUACAUUUCACUAUGUUUUUUAUGUACUAUCGUGUUUAUGUUCUUUAUAUAUUACCAAAUUUGGUGUCAGGUUUAUUAAUGAGAGGAUUGAAUUUCUAGUUAUUUCAAGAAGUAAGACUAAUGAAGAAAGUAAGGAGAUACAUGUGACGUCCCAAUCAAAUUCAAAUGGAUUGUCAAAGAUAUCAUCCGAGUUUUCUCAAUUUUUACAUACAAGGUGUUGAAUUUGUAGGUAUGAAGAAGGAUCGGUCUAAAAGUGUUGUUGAGAUUCCUGCUUCAGUUUUGGAGUUCUUUACCAGAAGCAAACAAUUGUGAGGGAAGCGCGUUGCAACAAUACCACUCUGGUGGAGAAUGGAGAGACAUGCUAGGUGUGGUUUCCCAUAGAAAAAAUGAGGCACUGGCUCAAGAAAAUUUCGGUAAUAUGUGGACAAAAGGAAGAAAUCACAAGAGGGAAGAACGUGCAAAUCAGAUGGGAAAAACUUUAAAUCUAAAGACUCCAGUGACGACUCUGAGACGGAACUGUUUGGAAGAAUAUAUAGUGGAGCAACAACUUCUUCAUCCAUGUCCUUAGCUUCUUAGAAUUAUUUAGAUACUCUCUACAUUUUUAUUGUAUUAAAUUGUAGUCAAUAUUUUGGUUUAUUGAAACUAUGUAAAACAUGAUUAGAUGUGUGUUAAUGUAUAUAAUUUUGUUAUUUAAAUAUUAUAUUUUUGCUGAUUA
rnacentral:lncRNA from 1 species